UACGUAGGGCGCAAGCGUUGUCCGGAAUUAUUGGGCGUAAAGAGCUCGUAGGCGGUCUGUUGCGUCUGCUGUGAAAACUCGGGGCUUAACCCCGAGCCUGCAGUGGAUACGGGCAGACUAGAGGUAGGUAGGGGGAGAAUGGAAUUCCCGGUGUAGCGGUGAAAUGCGCAGAUAUCGGGAGGAACACCGGUGGCGAAGGCGGUUCUCUGGGCCUUACCUGACGCUGAGGAGCGAAAGCGU
rnacentral:rRNA from 1 species